GACGAACGCUGGCGGCGUGCCUAAUACAUGCAAGUCGAACGCAGUGGGGCCGGGUGAGUAACACGUGGGUAACCUCCCAUCAGAGGGGAUAACCCUUGGCAACAGGUGCUAAACCGCUACUGCUCGAUGGACACGCGGUGCAUUAGCUAGUUGGUGAGGUAACGGCGCACCAAGGCCACGAUGCAUAGCCGGCCUGAGGGGUUGAUCGGGCACACGUGGAUUGAGACACGGCCCGGGCUCCUGGGGGAGGCAGCGGUUGGGAAUCUUCGGCAAUGGACGAAAGUCGGACCGAGCACCGCCGCGUGUGUGAAGAAGGGUUUCGGCUCGUAAAACUCUGUUGUUAGAGACCCGGGGUCUAAGCAGAAAGCCACGGCUAACUACGUGCCAGCAGCCGCGGUAAUAC
rnacentral:rRNA from 1 species